rnacentral:misc_RNA from 1 species
GCGGUGAUACGUUCCCGGGCCUUGUACACACCGCCCGUCACACCAUGGGAGUGGGUUGCACCAGAAGUAGCUAGUCUAACCUUCGGGAGGACGGUUACCACGGUGUGAUUCAUGACUGGGGUGAAGUCGUAACAAGGUAGCCGUAGGGGAACCUGCGGCUGGAUCACCUCCUUAAUCGACGACUCAGCUGCGCCAUAAGCACCCACACGAAUUGCUUGAUUCAUUGAAGAAGACGAUUAGAAGCAGCUUUUGCUUUGCACACCCUAUAUUGGGUCUGUAGCUCAGUUGGUUAGAGCGCACCCCUGAUAAGGGUGAGGUCGGCAGUUCGAAUCUGCCCAGACCCACCAGUUACCUGGUGAAGUUGGUCAGAGCGCGUACGACACCCGGUUACGGGGCCAUAGCUCAGCUGGGAGAGCGCCUGCCUUGCACGCAGGAGGUCAGCGGUUCGAUCCCGCUUGGCUCCACCAUUUACUGCUUCUGCUUGAAAGCUUAGAAAUGAGCAUUCCAUCCCUCGGAUGGUGAAUGUUGAUUUCUAGUCUUUGAUUAGAUCGUUCUUUAAAAAUUUGGGUAUGUGAUAGAAAGAAAUAGACUGUUGACCACUUUCACUGGUGGUGAGCAGGCUAAGGUAAAGUUUGUGAGAACAAACUUUCGGCGAAUGUCGUCUUCACAGUAUAACCAGAUGC